GCUAUUGUGAAGAAGUGGGAUGUUGGAAACAUGAUUGUGGCUAUAAUAGCCUUAAGGGAAAUGCAGAUGGAGUUAAGAAGAGCAGUAAAAGCUUUCAGUGUACCUCAGACGACACUCCAAAGGUAGAGCUUGGUUUGACGUUUUUCUAAGACAACACAGAUUUGGAUCUCCCAGUUGGGGAAGAAAAACCUACUGAAGAAGAUGCCAUUUUUAUUUCUUGUGGAGGCGCAUUUUCCAAAGACGUUCGGGAAGAAUUGUGGAUUAAGUGUGUAGUGUGUGAGGACUGGAGUAACUCUUUAUGUUCCAGAAAUGAAGGUGAUAUUAACAUAUGCGAUUUUUUUCAAGUGAAUUUCGCUUUUGAAGCACUUUUCUAUUAAAGUUGCAUUUAAAAAUAUUUUUGUGUAAUUUAAAUUUAGUAUAAAAUAAAAUAGUUUCUAACGUU